GACGUAGGGCGCGAGCGUUGUCCGGAUUUAUUGGGCGUAAAGAGCUCGUAGGCGGCUCAUUGCGUCAACCGUGAAAACCAGCAGCUCAACUGUUGGCUUGCGGUUGAUACGGGUGGGCUGGAGUUCGGUAGGGGAGACUGGAAUUCCUGGUGUAGCGGUGAAAUGCGCAGAUAUCAGGAGGAACACCGGUGGCGAAGGCGGCAUCCUGGACCGGCAUUGACGCUGAGGCGCGAAAGCCAGGGGAGCAAACGGG
rnacentral:rRNA from 1 species